UUACGGCCACAUCAUAUUGAAACACCAGUUCCUAUAUGAUCACUGAAGUUAAGCAAUAUCACACCUGGUCAGUACUUGGAUUGGUGACCACUUGGGAAUACCAGGU